rnacentral:rRNA from 1 species
UACGUAGGGCGCAAGCGUUAUCCGGAAUUAUUGGGCGUAAAGAGCUCGUAGGCGGUUUGUCGCGUCUGCCGUGAAAGUCCGGGGCUCAACUCCGGAUCUGCGGUGGGUACGGGCAGACUAGAGUGAUGUAGGGGAGACUGGAAUUCCUGGUGUAGCGGUGAAAUGCGCAGAUAUCAGGAGGAACACCGAUGGCGAAGGCGAGUCUCUGGACGACUCCUGACACUGAGGCACGAAAGCUAGGGGAGCAAACAGG